rnacentral:tRNA from 1 species
GGCUUUGAAGUAGAUAUAUUAUGUCGAAUUGCAAAUUCGGAGAAGUAGCUUAAUGCUGCCAAAGCUU